rnacentral:rRNA from 1 species
UACGUGAGGGGCAAGCGUUGUCCGGAUUUAUUGGGCGUAAAGAGCGUGUAGGCGGCCAUACAGGUCCGUUGUGAAAACUGGAGGCUUAACCUCCAGACGUCGAUGGAAACCGUAUGGCUAGAGUCCGGAAGAGGAGAGUGGAAUUCCUGGUGUAGCGGUGAAAUGCGCAGAUAUCAGGAAGAACACCCGUGGCGAAGGCGGCUCUCUAGUACGGUACUGACGCUGAGACGCGAAAGCAUGGGGAGCGAACAGG